ACCAAUUCUAGUGUCUGAUGAACCCUCUACACAUGGUGACAAUGCAAGGUGUAAAACCAAAAAAUCAACAAAUAAAUCAAGUUUGGAUGUACCCUUGGAUGUUGAAAAUGAAGGUAGAAACCAAACUGCAUUCUCUCUCUACACAGAAUUGGGCAAAACAGGA